CACAGGCGGGGCAGAUGGGGUAAGAGGAGCGGGACCAGGGCUUGGGUGGUCAGCUUCAGCCCCCCUCCCUCCACCGUUCCUGUCAGUGGCAACCCAGGGCUCAGUGGGGGUUCCACAAGGAGGAGGGGCUGCUGUGAGCGUGUGCAUAGGUGUGUGCGUGAAUUGAUAGACGCAUGUCUCUGCAGACUUGUGUAAGCAUGUCUGUAUUCUGUGAUUGUGUAGGGUUGCAGCUAUACGGUUUGUACACAUAUAUAGCUGUUAAGAAUGCUUGUAUGGGGGACUUGCCCUGGUGGUCCAGUGGUUAAGACUUCACCUUUCAGUGCAUUGGGUUCGGGUUUGAUCCCUGGUCGGGGAGCUGAGAUCCCACAUGCCUCGCGGCCAAGGAACCAAAACAUAAAACAGAGUGAUAUUGUAACAAAUUCAGUAAAGACUUUAAAAACAGUCCACGUCAAAAAAACUUACAAAAGGGCCUCCCUGGUGGCGCAGUGGUUGCGCGUCCGCCUGCCGAUGCAUGGGAACCGGGUUCGCGCCCCGGUCUGGGAGGAUCCCACAUGCCGCGGAGCGGCUGAGCCCGUGAGCCAUGGCCGCUGGGCCUGCGCGUCCGGAGCCUGUGCCCCGCAACGGGAGAGGCCGCAGCAGAGGGAGGCCCGCGUACCGCAAAAAAAAAAAAAAAAAAAAACUUACAAAAAAAAAGAAUGCUUGUAUGUUUGCAUGAUUGUGUAUCCAUGGGUGGGUGUAUACACAUAUGUACAUUGUAUGUUUACGAGUGUUUGUGGCUGCUUAUGUGUACUGUAGGGAGAUUCAUGCACAUGACCAGGUAGAGUGCUUAUAUAUUUACAUGACGGUGCAUGUGUGUGUGUGUGUGUGUGUGUGUGUGUGUGUGUGUGUGUGUGUACAGGCACAUGGAGCACAUAGAGUUGUUAAAUGCUCUGAUGGAAGAGACUCGUUGGUUAAAAGCCACCUCUGUCUGGGCCAAGUGAGGUGGUCGUGUCUAGAGGCAGGAGGAUGGACACCGGGGCCCCUGGAGUCCCUUUCCAGCCCAAGGAGCAGGAGGACGCGUACGUCUCUGUGUGUCUGUGUAUGACGGCGCAUGUCUGCGGCUGUAUGCCCGUGUGACAGCGAGUGCCUGGCUGUGUAAGUGCCCUGAGUGAUAGUGCAUGCCUGUGCGUGACUGUGACCAGGAGCCUAGCCGGGUCUGUGCGUGGUAGUGAAUGAUGGUGCCGGGACCACGGCCACACGCAUCUGUAGGACAGGUGAGCCUCGCGUGAAGGCGUGCGGCAUUGUGCGCUUUGCGUCCUUCCCCUUGUGUGAUCGUGUGGCCACCUCUACAUGUUCGCUCCAGUUGGGACCCCUCCCACUGCUGCCAGCCUCAGCCCCACUGAGUCAGCCUGGAAUGAAGAGCCAGGAUCUGGAAGCUCAGGACUGAUCUCUCCCUCCCUAACCUGAAGCCCCAGGCAAGUGCUAGCCCCAACCGGUUGGACCUAGAGAGGAAUAUGAAGGUGGUGGUGUGCCCAGGGCCCCAACCCUGGCUGGGCUAGCAGCAUGCCACCUCCCAGCCUCCUGCAAUCCUCCCCUGCCGGCGCCUCACCCAGCCUGGCUCACUCUCCUCCUGUGAGAGUCAGCAAGUCCUUUGGAGCCCCAGACCUUGGUCUCAGCAACUCAUCCUGCUCUGCCCUUCUCUGGCUCUCUCCUGGGACCACCUUCACACUUAGAGAGCAUCUCACACACACAACUGCACACUGUCACAGCCAAAGAGAUCAACACAUAGACACACUCUUAUAAGCCUUCAAAAUGCAGAUACCUACCUAUGCAGUCCCACCUUCUCACACACACACACACACUGUCGGAUCCAUACAGACACACAUCUACCCACAAACACGAGUGCGUAUUAAUCCAGAGGAUGCACCCGCUGUGCACACUUAGAGCCCCACAUGUGUAUUCAUGCAAGACCACACAUACCUGCAGAAGCUUAGUCCGGUUCUAGAGAGCCAGCAGGCACCCUUUCAACACCCCUAACAACUCAGGCAUCACUGAACCUGCCCCUCGGAAUCCUGGCUGGGCCGUCAGCCAUGUCCUAACCCCCCUAGGCUCCAGGGUAACCCAGAGCAGGCAGGCUAGCUGCUGGGGCUCUAACGGGACCUGGUGAUGCCUCCUCCAGCGCCAGGCCAAGCUAACACCAGCCCACUCCUGAGAUAAGGAUCCUGAUGCCAUCUGCCAGGUCCUGGGCUAUCACAAGGCAAACCAGGAAUGAGCCAGAACUCAGCAGAGAGCAGAGGCCCCACCCUGGGGAAGGACUGCCGAAAGCAACCCACAACAAGAGACUGGUCUCCAUGCCCUGGGAGCCAGCCGGACAGGAAGGGAUCGCUUGGUGCCCUGGCUUCUAUGCACAGGAAGGGAAACCAAGGACCUCAUAACCUGGACUGGCAUCAGGAUUAUGGGGUUGUCCUGAGCACUCUGGAGAGCAGGGAUCAUUAUCCCCACUUCACAGAUGGGGAAACAGAAGCCUGGAGAAACAUGAGGAUUCAGCACAGAAGCAGAAACACAAAGACAGAAGCUUGGAAAGGAGUGAACAGAGGUACAGAAGCAGAGCAA